GUCUCAUUAGACUUUUGUCACGAUGAUUUUAGAGGAUUUUUAGAGGAGUUGAGUCACAGGCCUGCAGAUUAGCUUCAGUACAUGUUGUCCUUUUUUUAUUAUCACCAUCUGGACCCCGCAGACCUCCACCAACACCGUCAUCGUCUAAACUCAUGACCACAGUAACUGGUUCCUACAGUAUCAUAUAUGUAUAUAACAUGUGGAGAUGAAGAUAUGAAGUGUUUUCUAUGGUUCCCACCUCGGGUCAUAAAUGAAAUCUGCCCUCGGUGAAUCAGCUGCACUGGGUGGAGAAUGAUGGAGGCUUCAGUGUAAAAUACAAAUAAAAUCAAUAACAGCAGCAGAGCUUCAGGCUGUGAAGACGAGGUGAUGAAGAGACGACAGACUCUCUUGGGUGGAGCAGGUGGAGCAGCUUCAAAAGGCUCCUGUGUGAUCAGCGCAGAAGUCGACUCAAGAUUCAACCUGCCGAAACAAAUGAAGCUGAAAUCGAUUUGCUCUCAGAGCUGCAACCAAAGCAGCAAAAUAAUGAAGGUGUUUCACAGAUUCUAGUGGAGGAACAAGGACUCAGAUCCUUCACUUCAGUACUGAUACCACACUGUGAUUAACCGCGGCUGGUGCGAUGCGUCGAUGUAAUCGACGUGAUCGUAACGUGCAGGACUGCCGCCGU